ACAAUGUGGCAAAGCUGAGGCUUGAUACAGCUCUCCAAAGACAAUGCUGGCACCAGACUGGUGAUGUCUUAAAGAAGUUCAUGCUGGCUGUCUGGCAAGAUGCAGCUGUGGUUGACUCAGGUCUGCACCUUCCUUCAAAUAGCAGAUGAUAUCUCUUUUUUUAAGAGUGGCUCUGCAGAGUUGAAAGUAACCACUUGAGUGAGAGCCUACGUCUUGCCUCUUCUGUGGCAUGUUCAUUUCACAAGCUUUUCUGCCUCUUGUUUACAAAGCCACCAAAAGGGACUUGCAGGCUGACUACACUGAAUUGUCAUUGCUGUGGAGUAAAAAAACUGCCUCAAGACUUGUGAGAUGCAGAUGGAGCGUUAAACAGUGAAGGGAAACUAAAGGGAUAAAAUGAGAAAAUGGAAGGCGUUCUGAUUUUGUAUUGUACCUGGCUGUGGCUGAAGACUUUCUUCUUGUCUGAGGAAUGUGACCAGAUACGAGCAGAUUGUUUCUCCAGGAAUGGUGACAAUACUUGCUGGUUGCUCAGUGAGAAUGGGGAACUGUGCAUGGCAAGAGCUGCCAUGUCCCCAGCCAGUUCAGCAAUCUCUGCUCCAAGAAAACAAGCUCCUGCUCCCAACCACUUCAUAGAGAAGCCAGUGCAUACAACCUAUGGAGAACUACAGUCCAGCCCAGUAAGGAAAUGAACUGAAAAACAUGGAGUCCUUUCUCUGUAGAAAGGUGUUAAGAGAAUUGACCUUAAUCUCAGUGCUGAUGCAUCCCCAAAAGUGUGACCAGCUCCUGCUCUUGCCCCUUUGUGUUGGGUAAGUCUGUUGAGAACAGAACAAGACUUUGCCCUGCAGACCACUCUGUGGUCCGAAGGAUCAGGUGCUGAAGACAUGAGCUCCAAACGGUGCUCUCCCGCUUUCUUGAGCAAGAGCCUUCAGACUUUGUGUUGCCCUUUAUUAGGAUGCUGCUUCCAGACACUACUCCCUCCUCCCAAUUUUUAAAGUAUUUCCAUUAAACUAAAAACAAGUCAAUUUUAGAGAACCUAAAGGCACGAUUAGAACAUGCAAAUAUGAAUUCAGUAUUUAUAGGCAUUGCUGUGGUGCUCUCCCUGUAGUAUCCAAGCAUGUUUUACCAGCGUUAGUGAACUUGAUCCUUACAGCACCUCUCUGAGUUUGGAGAGCCUGCUAUCCCUGUAUUAUUACUUUACAAAUGAUACAGUCCUCGACUUAAUACAGCUUUGACCAAGUUGUGUGAAGCCUCUGUAUAGAAACUGCGUGUUCUUCAAGAUAGUUUGUGAGGCACUUCUAUACAAUCUGUUUCACCUCUAUGAUUUCCUGCAGUGAAAUUAGCUGGUUCUUGGCUUCUGCUCUGCUGUUUACGCUUUCCUCAACCUUUACCGUUUGUUUCUAGAGUGACACUGUGGCUGGCCCUGCUCGAGUAUGCCAAGAUGGAGAGAGUAAGAUGCACAAAACUUGCUUCUUUCUCCAUUGCAAAAGGUGUGGCAGAGUUUGCUGUCCUUUGUUUUCCUAUCACUAUAAAGUCUGGUUUUAUCUAGUGGCAGUAAUGCUGCCUGAUAACCUUUAAAGGUUAGUGGACCUUUCACUAAAGACAAUAAACAGAGUUAUUCUCUCUGCCAACUGGUACGGUCCUGGCAGGAUAACGCACACUGUCAGUGCUUGCAAAAGACAUUUUAACUCAGUCAUUUGUUGCCCACCCCCCCCAACAGGUAUGCGCGUGCACGUGUGCACACGCACAC